UGCAGAGGGAGGAGUUCCCAAAGAGGAAACGGCGCAGGAACAGCAAAUGCAGAGAGGAUGCACACUCUGAAGAGGGCAGGCAGCUUCUGCACCGAGGGAGCAAAGGGGCGUGUCAGGGGCAGCUGCUGGAAGGAGGCGCAAGCACCACGGAGAGUCUGGGAUGCCCAGCCAAGGAGCCCUGGAAGGGUUGCCCUGGGGACUGACACUGUGGGCUCUGUGUUUUAGCCAAGUCACCCAGGCAGCUGAACAGAAGAUGGACUGGAGGGAGAAGCCUGGAUGUAGGAUCGCUCAGCAACAAAGGAGCCAGAAAAGGCAAGGUGUACACACCGUGUGCAGCAUGGGCGAGCUGCAGGCAUGCAGAACUUCUGAGUCCUAACCAUGGCUGGUGGCUCUUCCAGGAACAUGGUUUCCUGGACCCAAAAGGUAAGCUUGUCAGGGACCCACGUGAAUGAGGAAGUGGGUGGGCCUGAGUCUGGGGCUCCUCUGAGAACUGCUGUGGACCAGGGAAAUCUUGCUGCCACCUCUGGUCUUUAGUCCACCUCUCAGUAGUAGCUUUCAAAGCUUGAUUUUUUUGGAGGCGUCUCCACGGAGCAUAGUCCUAAGCUCCUAGCCUACAUUGUCCCUGUUCCUGGGCCUGUUUGGUUGACAUUCUCUUACAGUUUAAAAAAGACAUCCACAUCCGUACUCUUAGCUAAUCCUUGUGACCUUUCUUCUAGUCUGUUUGGAGAGGCUGGGAGCAGAGUGGUUAAAAGAGCCAGGCCUGGUUCCAUUUCUGACCCCUCUUCUAGCUGAGCAACUUCCGCCUCUUCCAGCCUCCCUCACGGGAAUCACAGAUCACAUGAGGAAACUGAGGCUUGGAGAGGCUCUCUGCCUUUGUCAACCUGGAGAUGCUGGGAAGGAAGUGAGGCCCAUCCCACCUCAGAUGCCUGUCCUCUGUCGUCAGGAGCAUUCUCUUGUUCUUCCGGGCUUGGCCAAGCGGUGGUAAACCCCACAUGUGGUUCUGUGGUUGCCCACACAGUCCUAAAAAUAGCCAACAGGAACCCAGGGGCUCCCCCUUGGUGAGUGGCAGCAGGCCCAGUCCUCAGGCAGCCACCAACCUGCUCACUCCCCACAGGCAAGCAGGUCCUGUCUAGGAAGGGGCUGGGUGGCCUGGGUCCCAUGCAUGAUGAGCCAGAGGCUGUGCCAAGCUUAUAGCAAAUAUUAUUUUAUUUCAUUAUGUUUUCUUACAUCUGUGAUGUGGAGGCCAUAGCUCCACUGGACUCAUGAGGAGACUGAGGCUCAGAGCAAUGAAGUGACCUGCUCAAAGUUAAGGAGCUUCAGUUUGGACCCAAUUUGUUCUGAUCCUAAGGUCACUAUCCUUAAUCCCUCUCCCUGUGGGGUCUUCCCUAUCUUGAGCCUGUGGACAGCUGUGCAGUGGCAAGAAAAAGGCCUUCAGAGCUACGCAGACCUGGCUUCAAAUCCCAGCCUCCCUGAUGAGCCCUGGUGGUCUUGCAUGCUUGCCCUUGGGACUCAGACACCAUAUUGUGAGGAAGCCCAAGCUACAUGCAGAGGCCACUAUAGUUGUUCUGGCCAACAGCCCAAGCUUCAGCUGCCAGACAUAUAAAUAAACCAACUCUUCAAAUGAUUUCAGUUUCCAGACUUCAGUGCAUCCCAGGUAAUGUCCAGAGGAGCAGAGAUGAACCAUCCUCUCUGAGCCCUGCCCAAAUGCAGACUUGAGAACAAACUAAAUGUCAUUGUCUCAAGCCACCAAUUUUCAGGGUGGCUUGGUACACAGCACCAGGUAACAGGAAUAGCCCCCCUCUUCCUCUGCAGCUCUCCCCAGGUACAGGCAAGCUCCCCAACCCAUGCUUCAUCCCCACCCCACAGACAGAACCUGGAGUCAGUCCUCCCACCCACAACUGUGCCUUCCAAACUAAGCUCAAAGCCCAGCUCUGUUGCUUUCAGAUGGGUGCCCUAGGGCAAGUCACCAACCCUAUAUGACAAAUCCCUCUGUGUCAAAUGGGAAUUAUAAUAGUGCCCCUGAGGAGUCUUGGAGAGAUUUAAUAAAGUGCCUGGAACAUAAUGAGUGCUCAUUAAGUGGACGCAGGGACAUGAGGCUUGGGAAAAAGGAAGGGGUCAAAGACGUCACCCCAGUCUCUGACUGGGAGGGAGAGAG
rnacentral:lncRNA from 10 species